UACAGAGGGGGCAAGCGUUAUUCGGAAUUAUUGGGCGUAAAGGGCGCGUAGGCGGCUUUUCAAGUGGCGGGUGAAAUCCCUCGGCUUAACCGAGGAACUGCCUGCCAGACUGGAUGGCUUGAGACCGGGAGAGGUGAGUGGAGUUCCCAGUGUAGCGGUGAAAUGCGUAGAUAUUGGGAGGAACACCAGUGGCGAAGGCGGCUCACUGGACCGGUACUGACGCUGAGGCGCGAAAGCGUGGGGAGCAAACAGG
rnacentral:rRNA from 1 species